UACGUAGGGGGCUAGCGUUGUCCGGAAUCAUUGGGCGUAAAGAGCGUGUAGGCGGCCCGGUAAGUCCGCUGUAAAAGUCAAAGGCUCAACCUUUGAAUGUCAGUGGAUACUGCCGGGCUAGAGUCCGGAAGAGGAGAGUGGAACUCCUGGUGUAGCGGUGGAAUGCGCAGAUAUCAGGAAGAACACCAACGGCGAAGGCAGCUCGCUGGGACGGUACUGACGCUGAGACGCGAAAGCGUGGGGAGCGAACAGG
rnacentral:rRNA from 1 species